rnacentral:tRNA from 2 species
GGAGGGGUGGCCGAGUGGUUUAAGGCGGCGGUCUUGAAAACCGCUGUGCUGCAAGGCACCGUGGGUUCGAAUCCUACCCCCUCCGCCA